GAUGAACGCUGGCGGCGUGCCUAAUACAUGCAAGUCGAGCGAACGGACGAGAAGCUUGCUUCUCUGAUGUUAGCGGCGGACGGGUGAGUAACACGUGGAUAACCUACCUAUAUGACUGGGAUAACUUCGGGAAACCGUAUCUAAUACCGGAUAAUAUUUUGAAGCGCAGGGUUCAAAAGUGAAAUACGGUCUUGCUGUCACUUAUCGAUGGUUCCCGGCUGCAUUAGCUAGUUGGUAAGGUAACGGCUUACCAAGGCAACGAUGCAUAGCCGAACUGAGAGAGGGAUAGGCCACACUGGAGCUGGAACACGGACCAGGCGACUAAGAGAGGCAGCAGUAGGGUAUGUUCCGCAGUAGGCGAGAGCCUGACGGAGCAGCGCCGAGUGUGUGAUAGAGGUCUUCGGAGCGUAAUACUCUGUUAUUAGGGAAAAACAGAUGUGUAAGUUAAUGUGGACAGCUUGACGGUACCUAGUCAGAAAGCACCGGCUAACUACGUG
rnacentral:rRNA from 1 species